UCCGUGUUCACCACGGCAGUCUCCCUAGAGUGCCCAACUGAAUGCUGGCAACUAAGGACAAGGGUUGCGCUCGUUGCGGGACUUAACCCAACAUGUCACCACACGAGCUGACGACAGCCAUGCAGCACCUGUCUCCUUGGGGUAUUGCUACCCAAACGGUAUCUCUACCGCGAUCAAGGGAUGUCAAAUCCAGGUAAGGUUCUUCGCGUUGCUUCGAAUUAAACCACAUGAUCCACCGCUUGUGCGGGCCCCCGUCAAUUCCUUUGAGUUUUAGUCUUGCGACCGUACUCCCCAGGCGGGGUACUUAGUGCGUUAGCGCCGAUUCAGCAGGGGUCAAGACCCACCAAACCUAGUACCCAUCGUUUACAGCGUGGACUAC
rnacentral:misc_RNA from 1 species